GACGAACGCUGGCGGCGUGCCUAAUACAUGCAAGUAGGACGCAGUUGCGAACGGGUGAGAAACGCGUAGGUAACUACCUCUUAGCGGGGGAUAACUAUUGGAAAAGAUAGCUAAUACCGCAUACUAGUAGAUGGAACUGCGUUGUAUUAGCUAGUAGGUAGGGUAAAGGCCUACCUAGGCAACGAUACAUAGCCACCCUGAGAGGGUGAUGGGCCACACUGGGACUGAGACACGGCCCAGACUCCUACGGGAGGCAGCAGUAGGGAAUCUUCGGCAAUGGGGUGAACCCUGACCGGGCAACGCCGCGUGAGUUAAGAAGGUUUUCGGAUCGUAAAGCUCUGUUGUUAAGGAAGCGGUACUUAACCAGAAAGGGACGGCUAACUACGUGCCAGCCGCCGCGGUAAUAC
rnacentral:rRNA from 1 species